GACGAACGCUGGCGGCGUGCUUAACACAUGCAAGUCGAACGAUGAAGCUGGAGCUUGCUCCGGUGGAUUAGUGGCGAACGGGUGAGUAACACGUGAGCAAUCUGCCCUUGACUCUGGGAUAACUGCGGGAAACUGUAGCUAAUACCGGAUACGAGACUUGGAGGCAUCUCCAGGUCUGGAAAGAAUUUCGGUCAAGGAUGAGCUCGCGGCCUAUCAGCUAGUUGGUGAGGUAAUGGCUCACCAAGGCGACGACGGGUAGCCGGCCUGAGAGGGUGACCGGCCACACUUGGACUAGGACCCGGCCCAGGCUCCUACGGGAUGCAGCAGUGGGGAAUAUUGCACAAUGGGCGAAAGCCUGAUGCAGCAACGCCGCGUGAGGGAGUAAGGCCUUCGGGUUGUAAGCCUCUUUUGGCAGGGAAGAAGCGAAAGUGACGGUACCUGCAGAAAAAGCACCGGCUAACUACGUGCCAGCAGCCGCCGUAA
rnacentral:rRNA from 1 species